GGAGAGAUGGCUCAGUGGUUAAGAGCACUGGCUGCUCUUCCAGAGGACCUGGGUUUAAUUCCCAGCACCC
rnacentral:tRNA from 1 species